rnacentral:rRNA from 1 species
UAGGGAAUCUUCGGCAAUGGGGGGCAACCCUGACCGAGCAACGCCGCGUGAGUGAAGAAGGUUUUCGGAUCGUAAAGCUCUGUUGUAAGAGAAGAAUGUGUGUGAGAGUGGAAAGUUCACACAGUGACGGUAACUUACCAGAAAGGGACGGCUAACUACGUGCCAGCAGCCGCGGUAAUACGUAGGUCCCGAGCGUUGUCCGGAUUUAUUGGGCGUAAAGCGAGCGCAGGCGGUUUAAUAAGUCUGAAGUUAAAGGCAGUGGCUUAACCAUUGUUCGCUUUGGAAACUGUUAAACUUGAGUGCAGAAGGGGAGAGUGGAAUUCCAUGUGUAGCGGUGAAAUGCGUAGAUAUAUGGAGGAA